rnacentral:rRNA from 1 species
UGCCAGCAGCCGCGGUAAUACGAAGGGGGCGAACGUUGUUCGGAAUCACUGGGCUUAAAGGGCGCGUAGGCGGUCAAUCAAGUCGGGGGUGAAAGCCUUCAGCUCAACUGGAGAAGUGCCUUCGAUACUGAUUGUCUAGAGGGAGGUAGGGGCAGAUGGAACUUCCAGUGGAGCGGUGAAAUGUGUUGAUAUUGGAAGGAACGCCGGUGGCGAAAGCGAUCUGCUGGACCUCUUCUGACGCUGAGGCGCGAAAGCUAGGGUAGCGAACGGGAUUAGAUA